rnacentral:tRNA from 1 species
CUCUAUUGCUUGGGAUAGCGCGCUGGACUUCUAAUCCAGCGGUCGUGGGUUCGAAUCUCACCAGAG